rnacentral:rRNA from 1 species
UAGAGUUUGAUCCUGGCUCAGAACGAACGCUGGCGGCGUGGAUAAGACAUGCAAGUCGAGCGCUGAUUACAGGGUAGCAAUAUUCUGUAGUCGGAGCGGCGCAAGGGUGCGUAACACGUGGGUAAUCUGCCGUGAAGUCUGGAAUAACUUGCUGAAAGGCGAGCUAAUGCCGGAUGUGACAAUUGGGAGGCAUCUCCUGAUUUUCAAAGUUGGGGACCGAAAGGCCUGACGCUUCACGAUGAACCCGCGGCCUAUCACGGUAGUUGGUGAGGUAACGGCUCACCAAGCCUAAGACGGGUAGCUGGUCUGAGAGGACGACCAGCCACACUGGAACUGAGACACGGUCCAGACACCUACGGGUGGCAGCAGUCGAGAAUUUUUCACAAUGGGGGAAACCCUGAUGGAGCGACGCCGCGUGGGGGAUGAAUGGCUUCGGCCCGUAAACCCCUGUCAUUUGCGAUCAAACCUUGUUAUUUAAAAGAUGACGAGCUGAUAGUAGCGAAAGAGGAAGGGACGGCUAACUCUGUGCCAGCAGCCCCGGUCAA